GACGAACGCUGGCGGCGUGCUUAACACAUGCAAGUCGAACGGAAAGUCCCUGCUUUUGUGUGGUGCUCGAGUGGCGAACUUGUAAUUAACACGUGAGUAACCUGCCCUUGACUUUGGGAUAACUUCAGGAAACUGGGGCUAAUACCGGAUAGGAGCUCCUGCUGCAUGGUGGGGGUUGGAAAGUUUCGGCGGCUGGGGAUGGACUCGCGGCUUAUCAGCUUGUUGGUGGGGUAGUGGCUUACCAAGGCUUGGACGGGUAGCCGGCCUGAGAGGGUGACCGGACACAUUGGGACUGAGAUAAGGCCCAGACUCCUACGGGAGGCAGCAGUGGGGAAUAUUGCACAAUGGGCUGAAGCAUGAUGCAGCAACGCCGCGUGCGGGAUGACGGCAUUCGGGUUGUAAACCGCUUUCGCCUGUGACGAAGCGUGAGUGACGGUAAUGGGUAAAGAAGCACCGGCUAACUACGUG
rnacentral:rRNA from 1 species